AGUCGANCGGCAGCACGGACUUCGGUCUGGUGGCGAGUGGCGAACGGGUGAGUAACAUAUCGGAACGUAUCCAAUAAUGGGGGAUAACUAAUCGAAAGGUUGGCUAAUACCGCAUACGCCCUACGGGGGAAAGCAGGGGAUCUUCGGACCUUGCGUUAAUGGAGCGGCUGAUAUCUGAUUAGCUAGUUGGUGAGGUAAAGGCUCACCAAGGCGACGAUCAGUAGCUGGUCUGAGAGGACGACCAGCCACACUGGAACUGAGACACGGUCCAGACUCCUACGGGAGGCAGCAGUGGGGAAUUUUGGACAAUGGGCGCAAGCCUGAUCCAGCCAUUCCGCGUGAGUGAAGAAGGCCUUCGGGUUGUAAAGCUCUUUCGCAAGGGAAGAAAACUUACUUUCUAAUAAAGAGUGAGGUUGACGGUACCUUGAUAAGAAGCACCGGCUAACUACGUGCCAGCAGCCGCGGUAAUACGUAGGGUGCGAGCGUUAAUCGGAAUUACUGGGCGUAAAGCGUGCGCAGGCGGUUUUGUAAGUCAGAUGUGAAAUCCCCGAGCUCAACUUGGGAACUGCGUUUGAAACUACAAGACUAGAAUAUGUCAGAGGGGGGUAGAAUUCCACGUGUAGCAGUGAAAUGCGUAGAGAUGUGGAGGAAUACCAAUGGCGAAGGCAGCCCCCUGGGAUAAUAUUGACGCUCAUGCACGAAAGCGUGGGGAGCAAACAGGAUUAGAUACCCUGGUAGUCCACGCCCUAAACGAUGUCUACUAGUUGUUGGUGGAGUAAAAUCCAUGAGUAACGCAGCUAACGCGUGAAGUAGACCGCCUGGGGAGUACGGUCGCAAGAUUAAAACUCGAAUGAAUUGACGGGGGCCCGCACAAGCGGUGGAUUAUGUGGAUUAAUUCGAUGCAACGCGAAAAACCUUACCUACUCUUGACAU
rnacentral:rRNA from 1 species